UGGAGCUGAGGGUGGAAGGGGAGUGAGCUGACGCUCGGAAGGUGUCUUGAGAUUAUCAUCCGCUGAGGGUGGAAGGGGAUGGAGCAGACACUCGGCACGUGUCUUGAGAUUAUCAUCCGCUGAGGGUGGAAGGGGAGUGAGCACACACUCGGGAGGUGUCUUGAGAUUAUCAUCCGCUGAGGGUGGAAGGGGAGUGAGCAGACACUCGGGAGGUGUCUUGAGGCUCAGGGAGUUAUCAGUUAUAGAAUGUUGUUGAGUUGGAGGAGGUGGCUGGUGGCCCAUCCUGUUUUUUAAAGUUUCAGCUGUGAGGUA
rnacentral:lncRNA from 1 species